CGGUCCCUGCAGAGGGCUGCUUCCCGGGUGUGGGCGUGUGUUUUGUUGGAUCUUGACCCGGCUGGGAAAUCUCCUUUUCUCCUUGCAGUUCGCGCCGCUGUGUCCCGAGCGUCACUGGUGUCGCACCGUCAGGGCUCAGCCUUCGAGCCCGUACCGGAGGCUUGUGAGCGGCUCACCUGGAGCCCCGGGCCGGGAGUCAUCGUGUGUGAAGGGCGCUCUCUGGGCGGCGUGCGCUUGGAUUUCGUUAAUACGGCACCUAAGUGGCAGAUAGAGUCAGGGACCGAUGGAAGUUGUUUUGAACGCACCGAGAAUUUGUUCUCCUCCGGCUUCUAGUUUGCGUUUCAAUCCCCAAACUGUCAGUGUUGUAGGGAGACUUAUUAAUGGUGCCCUACUGGCCUCAUUUUGUUUUGCUUAAAGUCGUAUCUUCAGAUAAUUUAGGAUGGGGGGUUGAGGUCCAGAAGAAAUGAGACGGCUAGGGUUUUUCAGGGACACCAGCAUUACCAGUCCAAGCGCGCUGCCCAGAACCGUGGCAGAUGGAGGAGAGAGCUACUCUGACGCGUCUUGGUCUUCGGCGCCCUCCUCAAGCGCUCCUGUAAAUCUCGGUUUUUGUGUGUAGCUGGCCUUAAAAUCAGGUAUAAGGCGUGGAUUAGUAAACGCCUAGUCCAGUGAAAAAGAAGACUCCUAGAAGAAUUGCAUGAUUUGCCCAAGGUCAUACAAUGAAUUAAAGGCGUAAAAUGAAGAAAACUCUGGUCUCCUGAGAGCAAGGCAUGUGCUCCUGCCGUGUUAGCAAGAAGGGAUGAAGAAAAGAAAGCCUGGAUGAACUGAUUUUUAGAGAGAAAUGAGGCAUUCAUGAAUGAACAGAAAGACUCAGCAGUUUUCUACUGGGGUAGGCACCUGGACUAAAUAUGGGCAGCUGGAGAAUUAGCCUGCCAAAGAUGGAGAUGAGGAGAAACCAACCAAGAUGUAGACAGCCUGUGGGCUUGUGGGAUGCACUGGAAUCUGGAAGAAGACUGCAGUAGAUUGAGUUUUCCAAAAAUGGCCUUAAUAGUAUCUCCCAUCCUACAUUCUUUUUCCAAAAAUGUGACAUUUGCCUCCCUCCCAUCGAAUGGUAUUGUCCAUGAUCCUUGCUUUGAAUCUGGUCAAGUUUGUGACAAUGGCGGAAAUAAUGAUAUGUGAAUUCUGAGGCCAAGUCAUAAAAGGUGAUACAGCUUCUGCCUGGCCCUCUUGGGAGACAUGACUUUGCAACCCUGACUGCAAUGUAAGGAAUCCACUGCUGCUGUGCUGUGAGGAAGGGUCAUGUGGAGGUGUUCUGGAUCAUCCCAAGCUGAGUUCCCAGCCAGCAGUCAGGAUCAACCAGCAGGCGUGUCAUUGGAGCCACCUCUAGAGGAUUCCUGCUCCCUGCCAUUGUGUCACCUUCAGUCUGAUCCACAUAAUCCCUGAAUGUACUAAAAUAUUUUUGUUUCAAAUAGUAUUGUUUUAUUUCAAUUUAAAUGUCUUCAUUUCAAAUGUUUAAACUGCUAAAUUUGGGGUAACAUGAUGGAACAAUAAAUAACCAGAAUAAGCUCCAGAUUUGAA